UCGGUUAUCAUGGUACCGGUGCUGUGUAUAUGAAAGGUACAGUACUGUGAUAACUGAAG
rnacentral:pre_miRNA from 1 species